AUCCAGGUGCUCACGCCCUUUCAGGGGUGGUAACAUUAUACGUAGCUUCCUCCUGGCAGACAAUGCCGGUCUCUUUGAAUUGUUUGGCGUGCAGGUGCCUGUUAGUGUCCGUCGCUGGAAGAACUCUGCCCCGUUGUAAAACAGCUGAUCUUUAAGUGCGUUGCUGCGGUUGUGCAGGCGUAUUUGCAGUCUUUUAAAAGCCGAGGAAUGCCGUAGCGGCUUUCCAUCUCGCUCCUUCUCCUACUCCCGGCCUCUCCCCUCUAGGGAUUGGCUUGAUGGUGGUAGCCGGACAGUCGGAAGGUAGAAAUAUAUAUAUAUAUAUAUAUAUAUAUAUAUAUAAUAAAAUGUAUUUGAUG